AGAACCCUGUUCAAUAUCCUUCGAUUCAAAAAUUACUACAGAAAUAAAUUUAAUAUUUUAAAAUAAAAUUCAUGAGAUAAAAUUUAUUUGUUUAAUCCUUAAUUGAAAUUCAUCAAGGAUCUACCCACCAAUCCCAUGAUCCUUUUUAGCUAGCCUCUUAACUAAACAAUUAAAAUAAGAGAGAGAAAUUAAUUAAUUAAAUUAAGAAAGAAAGAAAAAUAUAGGGAAGAGAGGAGAAAACCCUCUACUCUUCUCUUUUCUUCUUCCAAAAACAAGAGAUGCCUCCCACUUUCUUCUUCUCCUAAAGGUGAUGGUGGAAGACUCGGGACUGGCCACCCAUGGUGGCUCCCACAAGUGGCAAGGCUAUGACCCCAUCCACAACCAUGGCCGACAGCAGUCGGUGGCAAAAUAAAGAAAAAGACUUCAAAACAGAGGAGCCUUAUUCACGUCCAAACCGACGGCUCGUUAGUCCAAAUCCAUGUGAUAACAACGACUAUAAGGUCAAAAAAAAGGAAG
rnacentral:lncRNA from 1 species